UCUAAUCUGUGCGUGUACUUUUGCAUGGUACACAAACGGGCACAACGGCAGAAAAGUUACAAAAAAUACACCCACUGCAACAUGCGGCACAAUCCAAUUUUAAUGACCACAAAGCCCGAUUGACAUCGUUCUCGGUUUCAGACAAGUAAGAGUUCAAAGUAGAAAUUUCUUCGUCCGACAGUUGGAACCACUCGGGAAAUCCCAGUAUAGCUUUAAAUUGUUCAAAAACUGAUGCCAUAAUAAGCAAGAAACGUGACUUACAUAUGUAUGUUGAUAAAGCACUCAAUAAAUAAUCCAAGCGUUUAUAUAAUAAAAAAUUAGUUUCUGCAUGAAACAUUGCUGCGUUCAACCACGCUAAAUUUUCUAAUUGAAGUGAGCGCACUACAAUCACAAACCAAUCAGCUAAUUAGUCAUGUGACUGGUCAUCACUGGAAGCCCCCUUCCCAUUGGUAAUGCCAGUCUCUUGACCAAAUAAGGACUGUCGUCCGAGGGCAGACGAGCACAGCGGCAAUCCAACACCAGUCUGGCAUGUAAAGAUAAUUAUUGAUCAAUACUCCCCUAUGAUGCAACGGCAGAGUUAAUUUUAUUUUGAUUAAUAAUAUAUUUAAAAUAAAUACCCCAACAUUUAGGAAUUUGGGGCCAAAAAGGGGCCAAAAAACAAGCAUUUUUCUAGUUUCCAGACAAUAACUUGUGUUCAAGUGUAUGGAUCUCUCUGAAAUUGUACUGCAAGGUACCAUACCACAAAGGGAAAACUGGGAUUGAGUUUGGGGGUGAUGAAUCAUAAGGGGGUUCAAAAAAUUGGGGGGGGAUUUUUUUUUCCUUUUUUUUUCUUUAAAAUUUUCCAUUUUAAAUUGGUUAUUUCUGAUUUAUAUAUAAAAGCAAAUAAUAAUGAUAUGGUUUGAAUAGGUAAAUUAAAAUUUUUUAAGUUCUUAGACCACUUUCAUUCUGUGUGAGAAACCUAUGCUGUGUCAAAUAUUAAAUUACAAUCCAAAUUCAGUGCUGUAUCAAGCUUGAAUGUUGUGUCCAUACUUGCCCCAACUGUUCAGGGUUCGACCUCUGCGGUCGUAUCAAGCUGCGCCCCAGCGGAGCAUUUUAUUCUACUUUAAAACAAUUGAAAAAUAAAAAUUUUGAAAAUUUAUUUUUUCAUCUAUAAGUAUUGACUGGGAGGUUUGAGAUCUCAAAAAAACAUGUUUGACCCCGCCGCAUUUUUGCGCCUGUCCCAAGUCAGGAGCCUCUGGCCUUUGUUAGUCUUGUAUCAUUUUUAAAGGCAGUGCUUUAAUGCCUUUCUAGUUGCCGUGUUAAUCUUUCUUUCCGCGAUAUCCAACUCAUCUACGUGGGGGGUCAUUAGGCUCCAAGUAGAUCCGGAAAAUGUUGAUUCUCUCCUCUUCUUAUUGUGAUAUAAAAUGUUUUUUGUUUCAUUUCAUUUACAUUGGGAAAUAGAGAAACGAUCAUCGUGUUUUGUUAGUUUUAAAAACUUUUGAUAUAUUUGUAUUUUACAUUAUAAGCAGUCAACCGAUUGACAAACUAGAAUUAUUUGAAUUCCGUGUGGAAAGAGGUCGGGUUAAUUUCGAGUGUUAUCUGCAAUCUAGAUGUUUAUAAAUCAUUUCAGUCGUUGAUAUAAUAAUUAAAGGUCGACUGAACAUGAAUUAUAUUAUACAAUUUAAAGCGCAUUUCUGUUUAUGCACGCGAACCCGUCUAACGUUAUUGUUAUUUCGCAGUUAUAUAAAGUAGCAAAUUAUCGUUCCUGAAUAGGUGGCGCCGUGGUAGCCUAUCCUGUUCUUCAACUUCCGGUUUCUGCACUGUGCAACUAUUACAGUUGCAUUUUUAAUUAACGAUGCCAAGUACUUGUUGUUGUGUACCUGGAUGUCAUUUAAGAGGAGGACAUGCAUUUCCAAAUGACUCAAAAAGAAGGAAAAGUUGGAUCAACGCCAUGGCCCAUACGCAGAUUGGACGAGAACACGAUGAAAUCGUUGAGUCCAUCUCAAUCAGCUGUUGUUUGCAAGGCACAUUUUACUGAAAAAGACUACGUGCAGGAAACUAUUCAUGGGCGCAAACCCACCAUACAGAGACUUAAGUCUACUGCCAUUCCUAGCCUAUUUUCCUGGACCAAGCAAGAGACUGAAUCGUUCGCAAAAAGAAAAAUCAGGGCAGUUUCCUGUGAAAACAAAAGAACUAAACUUGAUGAAUAAUGUAGUAGAAAUCUAGAGGAAAGUUUUGAUUGUAAAGUUGGUUUUCCUGAAGAAGUCAUUCAUACUGCAGACAGGAUUUAUGACUGUCCACCACCAACUGCCGAGCUAAUGUUGAGCUUCACAGAUGGAAUUACGCAAACACCAUCAAUGCCUAUAUUUUCAGCAGAGAAUUUUGAAAUGAAGACACGUGACACAGCCAUGCAUUUUUAUACCGGUUUAGAGUUGUAUACUAAAUUUUUAUUUGUUUUGACCACACUUGGUCCAGCAGCACAUUGUUUGAGAUACAUAUAUUUUCAAAUUGAUAGGGUGUCAUUUGAAAAUCAGUUUUUUAUGACUUUGAUGAAAUUGAGGCAUUAUACAACCAACUUUGAACUGUCUAGAUUCUAGAUUGAAACUAGUGUUAAGAAUAUUGUGUAAACACGGAUUGUUUUUAUGUCUAAACAGUGGCGUGAGGCUAACACUUGGCCAUUUAGUGGUUUAGUCAUGUAUUUUUCGCCAUCCAACUUCAAAUUAAAGUUUCCUACAACUUGGAUUAUUAUCGACAGCACAGAAUAUCCCAUGAUAAAACCUAAAGCUCCUAGAGCUCAGGCAACCUUUUCAUCAUAUAAAAACAGAAACACUGAAAAUACUUGUAUGUUCGACACCUGGUGGUUUAGUCAACUAUGUCUCUAAUGCAUAUGUUGGUUGUACCAGUGACUGUGAAAUAGUUGAAAGAUGUAGAAUAGUUCAGUUAUGUGAUCCAGGUGACAGUGUGAUGGCAGACAAAGGUUUAAAUGUGCAAGAUUUGUUUGCUCACUUUUUUCAAAAAAAGAAACAGAAUUAGUUCCAAAACUCUUAUACGGGAUAAAAAAGUCUCCAAUUAACACAUGCACAUAGAGCUAAUUAUUGGACUCGGCAAAACAUACAAAAUUCUAAUAAAUCCUAUGAAUGGAACUGAAACAAAACUUUCAUCUGAUAUAACAUUUAGUUGUUUUAUGUUGUGUAAUUUUAGAACUUGUAUUGUGCCAAAGGAUGCAUAAAUAAAAGUGACACAAUGAA